ACGAUAGCCAAUAAAUUUUCAACUUUUCUGUAAGAACAGAAUUUGCGAAUACGUUUCUCUUGCAAAUGAAUUCAAGAAUCGAGCCCCAGAAUGCAGAAUGAAACGUCCGGUUGAAAGGUGGGCUUAGGUUAGUUUUCCCAUUCUGGCGGGAACCAGUGUAUCAUUUUGUUGCGGUUGAUGUGUUUUUCGAUCAAAUCCCCAAGAUGCCUGAUGUUACAAUCAACGAUAUCAUCGUUAGCUUUCCUUUUAAGCCGUAUCCCGUGCAGGAGGAGUAUAUGAGAAAGGUGAUAGAAUGCUUGCAAAACAGCCAACACGGUGUUUUGGAAUCGCCGACAGGUACUGGAAAGACUCUGAGCCUUUUGUGUUCUUCCUUAAGUUGGCUAUUGACAAAGAAAGCUCAGUUGCAAGCACAAGUGAUAGCAGGUACAAUAGAAAAGAAAGAUUUUGGUGGGCAUUUCUUUAAGCAUUUAACUACUGGACUUGAGAAAGCAGCUGGCAUACCAGACAAUGUCCAAAGUUUUGGUUGGGCCAUGCCUAAAAUUAUUUAUGCAUCUCGCACACAUUCCCAAUUGUCUCAGGCCAUGCACGAACUAAAAAGAACAUCGUAUAAGCAUGUGGCCACCACUGUGUUAGGAUCUCGAGAUCAGCUGUGCAUUCAUCCAGAAGUUUCUAAAGAGAUGAAUACUUUUAACAAGAUACACAUGUGUCAUGCAAAAGUAAAGUCAAGAACUUGUUUUUAUUAUAAUAAUGUUGAGGCUAGAAAAGAUGAUCCUGUCUUUAAACAGGAGGUGCUGGACAUUGAAGAUUUAGUUAAAGUUGGACAGAAGCACAAGUGUUGCCCAUAUUUUUUGACAAAGGAGUUGAAACAGAAUGCAGAUAUUGUUUUUAUGCCUUAUAAUUAUCUGCUAGAUCCUAAAACACGAAGGUCGCAGGGUAUAGAUUUGCAAAAUACUGUAGUUUUAUUGGAUGAAGCUCAUAACGUUGAAAAAGUUUGCGAAGAAGCAGCAUCGUUACAGAUAAGUAGUACAGAUAUUGCAAUGUGUAUCGAUGAAGUAACUGCAGUAAUGCAAGACAUGGCUAAGGAUUCGGAUCAGCAGUCAUUUGAUUUUCUAUCAGAAAAUACUGUUCAAAAAGAUUUUACAGCAGAGGAUCUAUGUAUCUUGAAAGCAAUGUUUUUGGAAUUAGAAAAAGCAAUUGAUUCUAUCGAAUUAAAAAACCGUAACGAGGGAGACACCUUUCCUGGUGGAUUUAUUUUUGAACUACUUGAGAAAGUUGAGUUAACACACGGUAAGGAACAAAUUGUAAUAGAAAAGUUGGAAAAGAUUAUUUUAUAUCUGACUACUACCAGUACUUCACCAUUUGCAAGGAAAGGAAAUGCACUGCAAAAGUUCAGCGAUUUAUUGAGAACUGCUUUUAACAACAGUGUAUCUAUUGCACGUCACAAGGAAAAAGUAAAACGUUGCUACAAAGUUCAUAUACAAAUGGAAGAGCAAAAGAAGAGUUAUAAGAAUGACGUUUGGGAAACUAAAAAGACAACUAAAACGGAUGGAAAGCUUAUCAGUUACUGGUGUUUUAGUCCUGGUUUUGGUAUGGAACAGAUGGUGGAACAAGGUAUACGUUCAGUAGUGCUCACAAGCGGCACGUUGUCUCCUUUAAAACCAUUCAUUUCGGAACUUGGGAUACCGAUCGCAGUCCAAUUGGAAAAUCCGCAUAUAGUAAUGAAGGAACAAGUAUGUGUUGGUGUUCUUAGUCAAGGACCGGAUAACCAUCCGCUUAAUUCAUCUUACAACACAAGAAAUGAUCCAAAGUAUAUUGCAUCUCUUGGAAGAACAGUAUACAACUUCUGCUGUAUUGUCCCUCAUGGUUUAUUAAUAUUCUUUCCAUCAUAUCCAAUCAUGAAGAAAUGUAGAGACGAGUGGCAGAAUAUAGGUUUAUGGACACAGAUUAAUGAGCGCAAGUCCAUUUAUGUAGAACCUAACUCUAAAGAGGGAUUUGUUAAUGUGAUGAAUGAGUAUUACCAAAAAAUUAGAGACCCAUCUUGCAAGGGGGCUGUUUUCAUGGCAGUGUGCAGAGGAAAAGUCAGUGAGGGUCUAGAUUUUGCAAAUGCGAACGGUAGAGCUGUACUAAUCAUUGGUCUUCCAUUUCCACCCUUAAAAGACCCACGUGUUAUGCUGAAGCAAAAAUAUUUGGAGGAAAUAAGAACUACAGAAAAAGAGAGUCUAAGCGGGCAAGAAUGGUAUCAACUCGAAGCAUCUCGAGCUGUCAAUCAAGCUAUUGGCAGAAUAAUAAGACACAAAAACGAUUAUGGUGCUGUGGUACUUUGCGAUUGUAGAUUUGAAAAUCCAAACUUCAAGAAACAAUUAUCGGCUUGGCUCAAACCAUACAUAAAAAGGUUUACGAAUUUUGGGAUGAUUACAAAAGAAUUACGAGAUUUUUUUAAGAACGCGGAGAGUACACUGCCGCAAUCUAAUAUCACUCAUGCACAAUAUGGGAAUACUGAUUUAUCACUGCCUGCUGUAGGUGCUAUCUUUCAAACAACAACAAUAUCUCAUUCUCUCAGAAGAGCACCAAAUAAUUCUGAAACAGAAGAAUCGAUUAAGAAUAGUUUCAAUAUAAAUAUGUAUCUAAAUGAAAAUCCGAAGGACAAAGAGUCAACAAAACCGCAAUCUGCAAUCAAUUUCGGUGCUUGUAAAUUAAAAAACAAUCAGAAUACGCGCGAAUUAGAAAAAUAUCGAUCCGAAGAACCAGUUGCGAAAAAAAGAAAAAUUAAUAUUAUAACACCUGGAAUUGAUUCGUAUUUUUCUGCUCCUUCAACCUCUUCGUUAACAAUUCCAGAAAAUGAUUCCACACAAAAUUUCAUACAAAACGAUAAGGAUGCUAAUAAAGAUAAUAAAAAAACACUGGGAAAACAAUAUUUGAAAGAUGUAAAACGAGCAUUAUCAGCGAGUGAUUAUAAAACAUUUGCAAUUAUGAUACAGAAAUAUACACAAAGUGGUGAUUUUGACGAGUUAUUGAAAAUAUUGACAAGUUUAUUUCCACCGACUGGACAGUUACAGCAUCUAUUUAUAGUUAGAUUAAAAACAAUAUUGUUCUGUACACACUUCAGACAAAGAGAAACUGACCGAGAUAAUAUAAUGGGGAUGAAAUUUAACAAUGUCAUGGGUCUCAAUUUACGACUAAACAAAAGACAGCAAAAGGUCACACCCCAUAUUACUCCAGCACCGAACAAAACCUGGUUCCUAAUAAAACAUCACCAAAAAACGUUUGUCCUAAUUACUUCUCUUGUAGAGAUUUAAAAGAUAUACAAAUUAUAACAAUGUAAGAAUCAGUCACUAAUACUUAUAAUGAUAAUUCGAUAUUACAUGUUACGAGACUUGUUUAUGAAAAGAAAAGCCUAAAAUUUGCAGGAUUCUUUGUUCCUAAGACAAAGGGAAAGAAUCAUCAUAUCAGACUACAAAUAUAAACAAAGCUUACAGAUAACAUACCUGUCUGGCAUAGUGCUGAAUGUUUAGAUUCGGACUUUAAAACACGCUUCAAAAUAAAAGAGAAAUAGGUCAGCUUGUAACUAUAAAAAGAACAUCCAUGAAAACGUCGAAAGCAAUUCGCGGACUAUAUUUCUUCACGGAGUGUCGUUAUUACCGGGCAGGAAUUCCGGCAGGAGUCACGCAGGUUAACCAUGCACGGUGCGGACGACACCGUGGAGAGAUCACGUCUCUUUCUCUCUCUUUUCCCGUGUGGCCCUCAGAUCCACCGCCGGCACAUCGGAUCUGUCUGCGACCGUGCGUGCUCGCUGGCCAGCAUCCCGCGACCGAGUCCGCGAACGAAUUUGGAAACAGCUGGUGAGACCGUGCACCUAUAGCUAUAGCAUCUCGGACUCGUCAGAUUCGACCGGAAGUGUUGUAUCGCGUUGCUCCGCGCAGCACGCGUUGUUUGAACGUCAUGCGAAUGCAACUCUGGUUGAAAUCCGACAGUCUCGAGAUCUUGGAGGCACCUAUCCUCAAAUCUGCACUUUCUGGAAUGGAAAAUUUUAAUAAAAAUUAGACUUUUUAAUUGCAA